rnacentral:rRNA from 1 species
UACGGAGGGGGCUAGCGUUGUUCGGAAUUACUGGGCGUAAAGCGCGCGUAGGCGGACCUGCAAGUCAGGGGUGAAAUCCUGGAGCUCAACUCCAGAACUGCCUUUGAUACUGGGAAUCUCGAGUCCGGGAGAGGUGAGUGGAACUGCGAGUGUAGAGGUGAAAUUCGUAGAUAUUCGCAAGAACACCAGUGGCGAAGGCGGCUCACUGGCCCGGUACUGACGCUGAGGUGCGAAAGCGUGGGGAGCAACAGGA